AGAAUCAACGCUGGCGGCGUGCCUAACACAUGCAAGUCGAACGAGAAAGUGGAGCAAUCCAUGAGUAAAGUGGCGACCGGGUGAGUAACACGUGACUAACCUACCUUCGAGUGGGGGAUAACCUCGGGAAACCGGGGCUAAUACCGCAUAAAAUCUUUGGAUCGGAAGAACUGGAGAUCAAUGGAGCAAUUCGCUUGAAGAGGGGGUCGCGGCUGAUUAGCUAGUUGGCGGGGUAAUGGCCCACCAAGGCUUUGAUCGGUAGCCGGCCUGAGAGGGGCGCGACGGACCGACGACUGGAACGUGAAACACGGUCCAGACUCCUACGGGAGGCAGCAGUGGGGAAUUUUGCGCAAUGGGGGAAACCCUGACGCAGCAACGCCGCGUGGAGGAUGAAGUCCCUUGGGACGUAAACUCCUUUCGACCGGGACGAUUAUGACGGUACCGGUGGAAGAAGCCCCGGCUAACUUCGUGCCAGCAGCCGC
rnacentral:rRNA from 1 species